UAAUUGAAAUCAGUGACGGUAAACAUCAGGAUAACGAAUUGGUGGGCUUCAAUUCUGUAAUGCGACGUCUCACAGCCAGAGCCGCCCGACCCUCACACCUCCCCAGAGUUCCUCCGCUGCCCUGUUUCUUCCACCACCGGAAAAAAUGUGUUUCCCCUGCAUCUAAAGCUGCUUUCAUUUCAUGGCUGUAGCGCUGCGAGGUCGCAGCCAAAGCAGAGUUCCUAACAACAAGAAGCAAACCAAACAAAAGCAAAAGUAAAAACCAAAGCAAACACAAAUUGUGCUUUCAAAAAGCACGUUUUCCUGGGGCUCGCUGCGUUUUCUUUCUAAACAAAGACUUGUUGAGUCACCAGCAAUUUCUGCGCUACAAUUAUGGAGGAAAUCGAAUCCGCGCAGUCUGUUUGCUGGGACAGUCUGCCUCCAGAGAACAUCCCUGCUGCUCUGCGGAGGAUGUUCCUGCACCCUUGCUGCCCUGUGUCCUGCAUGGCUCAUCUGCAGUGGCUGGGAUGCACAAACCCUCUGAUCCUGGGUUAAGAAAAGAGGGCCAUUUCCAUUUGGCUCCACAGCGAUGCCUCCAGCAGUGCAGGCAUGGGGUCAUGGCGCAGCACUCACAGCUGCUUCUGCAUCCUGGGUCUGGCAUCCUGCUGAUGCUAAAAAAUGAAUCUACCCCUUAAAUUUCCUUAUUAUUGAUGGGUUAUUUUAGCUGUCUGUGACGUCUGCAAUGACAGAGGAUUCAAAAGGCAUUUGAUUUUGGUAGGAAAGUGGGAUUAUAGUUAAAACAUGGAUAUUAAAAGUCCCAUAAAUUUAGUAAACUAUUCAUAACAGGAACACAGCCGGUACUCAGAUCCAUCAGUGCCAUGAAAUGGAUGGUGGCGGUGUUUUCGGAGUCAUGCUGUGUGCCACCUCGCUGUCCCACCUACACUCCAGGGACUCCAUCAAUCUUGUGGUGGCCGAUGCCUCCUGCUCGCGGUGUCAGUGAUGAAUGCCGUGACCCCUGGGGAGGAAGGAUCACAGCAGCUCAGUGCUUGCGUGCAGGGGCUCAGGGAGCUGAUGAUCCUUGGACAACCCUGGGAUGAGCACGCUCCAGUUGAGGACAACGUCCCCCCUGGCUGGACAGAGCGAUGUCACCUUGCUGCACAGGAGCCCAAGAGCACUCAGCAGCAAGCACGAAUACCUCUUCACCCCAGUCCAGCCUGGCUAUUAAUAUACCGGUAACAACUCACAGCUCUGCACAGCAUUACAUUUCAUUGGUUGCUUUAGUUAUAACAUUCGAGUACAGCGUGCCAUCAAUUUGUGCACUCCCCAUCUACAAAUCAAUGUAGCUAAUACAACGCGCGGCAUCUUGCGUUCAGUGAGCUCUCACUGUUUUGCUAGCAGUGCCAAUACAUUAAGCCUAGAAAUGCAUCCAACACAAUGAAUUUUAAUUUCAUAUAACACUGGGACUCUGCAUGACAUUAAACUCGAGCACUAGGGCACGGUGCUUUGGAAAUGGCUGUGUUAUGGAGUGGGCAGAUCUCGAGGCAGAACUAAUCAGAUGCUGCUGGAGUACCAGAAAUCCUCCUCCGUGGUUCUGUGGUCGAUGGGGACUUUUGCCUGAUGUCACAGGCGGAAUCAAUAACAAACCUGAGGGAUUCAAUCCAGGGAGCAUCUAUCCCUGCACUCUGCAAAUGUGCCCUCUGCUCGGGUCAUGCCCGAGCUCCAGGUCGCUAUUGAUAUUGUGGAGAGCCACAGCAAUCUUCAGGAAAUUUGCGAUUCGGCCCUGGCAUAUUUGACAGAUAACACUCGAAAUACAAAUGUCAAAACACAUUUAGAUUUUUCCCUUUCCUAACUAGCCCUGGAGAAAAUGCAAACCCUUCUUGACAGAAUCAGUUCAGGAGCCUCCUCUAAGCCAGGCCCUGAGUGUUGGGAGAAUCUGCCUCUUAAAGCCAUAUAGAUCCAUUGCUGUGGUACAAAAAACAGUCUUCACCCUGAGGCAGAAUUGCUUAAGAAAAUCCUGACGUGAUUAGACACCACUCUCUUCUGAGAAAAAGUAAGUACACCAUUAAAGGAUAACUGAGAUGCCGCAUCAACUUGGCAGCGUUGAAAUCGCUUGAUGUUGCCGUCCCCAAAAGCCAGCUUGGCAGGAGGGCACAGGGAAGGACCCGAAUACUUGGAUUGUUCUGGUUACCGCUGCACAGGUGUGGCACAGCCCCAGAAGGUGCUAUCCUGUAAGCACAAUGUGAUACCCCAGUGCUGUACAGGGCAUAGGUAGGCUGUGGCGUGGUGAGGUUCACAAACACAGGCUGCACCUGUGCCAUUUGGGAUGCCCAUGGCUGAGUGAACAAAACCCAAAGAUCCCUUUUUAUUUUUUUUUCCCCGUGUGGUAAAACAUUGCUUUCAGCUAACACUGAUUUGCUUUGAAAGGGAGCUUUGGUGGAAUGAAGAGUAAAUGAAAUAUUCUUGUCUUCAGAUUUCUCUGUGAUACACAAUGAUGUAGAAAUUAGUCCUUUUACCAUCCUAAGUAAUAUGGACUGCGAUGUCUACACUUGAGACUUCUGAACGAUUUUCAUGGUAAGAUUCUAGUUUUCACUUGAUGAUAACUUUGUCAAACAUUAGCGCUUUGCGCUGAAGUUUUCCAUCUCGUGGCUGCUGCGUACAGAUGGUCACAUAGAUUUGCUCAUAUGUACCAAUGCAAAUUUUCAGCUGAAAGAAAGCAGUCACGCUUGGGAAUAAUUUUAUAGAAAAGCAGAUGAUUUAUCUAUAUUAGACAAAUUGUUUUGGAUGGAAGAAGCCCCACGCUUCGGAGUGAAGCUCUAAUUUGAUAGCAGAGCUCUCCAGGCCCUGUUGGGUCUUGGUAAAUUUCAGACACAGCGCUGAAAGCCAGGAGGACCCAGCAGUGCCCAGAAGAGCUGGGAUGGGAUCUGGGGAUGUGAGGGAACCUUGAUGGAGCUGGAACAGGGAACGGAGAGAAGGGAAGACGAGAGGAAUGAAACCCAGCUAAGAUGGGGAAAACGACACCAGCAGCAAAAAAAGCAGAAAUCCUGGUGAAGGUGAGGAGGAGGUCCAUAACUGGGUGGAGGGCUCUCCUUCGGAAGACUGGUGCUGACCCUAAAUCUCUUGAUAGAGAAAGCUUGGGUCAGGGACUCCCUCUAGGGGCUGCACAAGGCCAGCUUUCUGCUGGCCACCAUCCAGAGUGGCCACAUCUCCGAUCCCCUUCCUGCCCAUUGCCCCCACUCUGGGCUCUCCCUUGCCCAUGGGGUGAGGGCUAUUCCUUGCCAGGGAGCAUUUGAAGCCCUUUGUGUCAUCCUUUGAGACAGCGGUAGCACUGGUUUGUGCAGGAAGUUGAGAGGUGUGUGAUGAAUGAACGAAGAAGGGAGAGCAAAAAAGAUGGUUGUGGACAGCUGAGUGGUUCAGGACCGGGGACAGCUUCCUGGGUCCCAGCACCUGCUUUGCAGGAGACCCGAGCCACCCCAUCAUCACAGGUCACUCGGGUCACUGGGAUCUUUGCUGGGGGUGCACAGUAAAUGUAUCCAUCUCUGGAGAAGCAGUAGGAUUUGGUGUUGUGUUAUUUUGCCUGCUUAGGGGAUGUGGGCUGGGAGCUGGAGGAGCCCCAGUUUCCCUCUGCCAAAUGUGCGGCGGGAGUUGGACCAGAUGACCUUUAAGGUCCCUUCCAACUCAAACAAUUCUGAUUCUAUGACACUGGGGAGAAGCAGAUGGAUGGGGUGAUGACAUCUGAAAGAUGUCCAGCAAGAUUUGCUGGAGUUCAUUUAUUGGGCACCUAAGGUUAACAACCCCCAUAGAAGUCCUGGGGGUUAUUUUAGGGUUGCAUUCAUUAGUGUAUGGGAAAUACUGAGAAGCUUCAGUGAUACAGCUGUGGAAAACUAUAGGGUGAUAUUGUGUGGGUUGUAGGUGCACCGAGUAAGACGUAUUGAUGGAUGAAGAAUGUAAAAGAGUUUGAAUGGGGCCCAAUAAAAUAAUUUUACUCCUGAUGUAAACCAGAGCAGAAUAAGGCCAUCUGGGUCUAUAAAUAGCAAGAGAUAGGUUCUGACUAAAUCUAUAGCAUUUUCUCUGGCAUUCAUCUUGCAUAAAUUAAGACAUUUCUGUAAAUAAGUAGAAAACUUAUUAAGCCUUACAAAGGUUAGACUGUUUCCACUGGAUUUUAUGUCUUUUGCAUAAAUCCUCCCAGGUAAUUCCAUACUUUGUACAGAGGCAAUUUUUUACAGUAUAAGUUCAAUUAACACUAUCAUGCCAUACGUGCCGUAUAUUAAUGCGGGCAGCCUCCUGCACCCCCCAGAAAUCACUGGCAUCCAAUUCUUCUUCCUGAUUCAAUCCGCAUGCUCCCACUUGGGCCUCUGGGCACCCAUGUGCAAACACACGAGGUCAAGCAGCAGUCCAUGGCUGUCUGCAGAAGGGAGAUGUUCAUGUCAAGCCAUUUUCAUGGCACUGAGGUCCCUAUGUCAUCCAUGUCAUGCUGGAUGCCUCAGCCAUUACCCAGAAUAUUUCUGCUGCUCAUGGGAUAUUUCCUCUGGUAGUGUUGAUGUUUACUCUAAUAACCCAGUGUUCAAAGAAUUAGCUUGGUUUCCAGAUAUUCUGAAUGUCAUUUGAAUUGGUGAAAAGUUAAUGGUCCACUUUAUGUUAAUAAACAGUAAUUAUAAAUACUCUUCAGUAGAGAACGAAGCUGUAAUUAAUUGCAAACACAUUGCAUUUAUAAGCAGCAUUCAUUGGUGCUAAGUCUUGAUUCACAUUUUGCUGUCCCAGGUGCCAUGCAAACUGACCUGAGCCUGACAGUGCUCCUCCUCGUGCCUCUGCACAUCACAGCUCUGCACAAGGAGAUCGAGUUUCAUUGCUCACCACAACCAGUGCCAUGAUUUAGCACUUUUUAAAAUGGGCUUACUUUGCAGGGACAGUACAAAAUGUACAUGUUUUCAGUUCCUGUGCCUCGCAGACUUGAAGCUGAUGUCUUUUACACAUUCACUUCACAUAACUAUAUCCUUGCCAUUUUUCCUUCCUUUGGACAGAGCUCUUGGCUUUCAGACAAUUCCUGCAGACCCUGUAGCAGUUGUGUCACCACGAGAUGUGUCAUUCAUCCUGAAAGCAGUCAGGUUUGAAAACCAAAGAACCGCCUGACUUGCAUCCUAGGUGGCACAGACAGCGAGUGAGCAGGCAGUGAGGGGCAUGCAGACAGAUGAUGUCUUUUAGCCUCCAGCAAGGCUUAAUGUGGUUAAAUCGAGAUGCAGCUAUGACUCUUGAUGAUGCCAGGAAUCCGAUACUCCACUUGUUUGCAACUCCUCGGGAAGAAGUGGCUGCCUUAUUUUGUGAUAAAAGGGCUUUGCAGAGUGAACACUCCCCUUUUCCUGGAUGAUUCAAUGUGAAGUUCAACAUGGAAGGAGCUGGCAUUUUUGUAUUUUUUUUUUUUUUUAUGAUAAGGUUGUGAAGCACUGGCACAGGUUGCCCAGAGAGGCGGUGGAUGCUCCAUCCCUGGAGACACCCAAGGUGAGGCUGGACAGGUCUCUGAGCAUCUGAUUGUGCUGCAGGUGCCCCUGUUCACUGCAGGGGUGCUGGACCAGGUGGCCUUUAGAGCUCCCUUCCAACUCAAAUGAUUCUAUGGUUCUAUGAAAACACCAGCGAAAGUGGAGCAGCCUGAGGUUAUCCAGCUUCAGAAGGACAUGGAAGCAAGGUAGCAGCUGUCAAGUGUGUGAAGGUCUGCCAUGAGAAGGAAGGGAAUCACCUGUGCUGUCUCUCCAUGAUGGAUAAGACAAGGAAUUAGAGGUUAAGCAGCAGUGGGGAGAUUAAGAUCAAACAUUGGGAAAUGUUUCUGGGGGGAGGACAGAUGGCUUGGGGAAGUUAUGGAGUUUCCAUCCCUGCAGAGAUUCCCAUGUGUUAGUCAUUGAUCACGCCCACAGCAGUGACAGUGGGGAGUACCCACCUCUGGAGAUGUCAGGGACAUUCUGCUGCCGUGAAUUACAAGAGGGAUGCCUUGUAGGCAAGGCAGCAGUGAAAAAUUAGGCCCAUGUUUAGAUCUCGUGCAUGGCCAUGUCUCAGAAGCCCACCUGAACCUAGGAGUUUGCCUCCGAUGAGUAUUGUUGUUGUCUUGGAGAAAUAGUGUCACCACUAUCACAUAUGCAUUGAGGUCUAGAACAUUGAGGGUGUUACCUGAAAUCAGAUCUGUAGUAUGAAGCUUUGUUGAUGAAAUACAUAGCCAGACAUCCGUGAAGUUACCUUUCCUGCCUAACACGAGCUGAACUUGAUGGAUUUAAUACUUGUUUCAGCCACAGCAUGUUCACAAGUCUCAGCAGGCCCUGGACCUACCACGUAACUUGGACACUUCUGGUUCAGAGAAGCACAUUAACUCACACCAGGCUUUUCUUCCACACCACACAGGGCACGGAGGAUGCUCACAGCCCUGCUGCCCUUGGAGCAAGGUGACCAGCCGCUCCUUCUGUCAUUGCCGCUCCUUCUUCCUCGCCUCCGUGGUCUGCAAUUGGCUCCAUUCACUCGAUGAGAGAUGGCUGGAGGUGAGCACUUUAGGAGGGCUCUCCUCCUCCUUCCACCUGUUUUUCAUUCCUUGACUCACCGGCUUUAAGCUGUAAGUGGUGACGUGACAGCUGAGUCAUGGGCGCGCCACCUGGAUGCUGUCAGCAUCAAUCUCUCUUAUAAGGAUCACAGAGGAGCAAAAUAGAAAAGACCGUUUGGGCUUUGCAUCCGUCUUCCUGCCAGCAAGGACUGAGCCCUGCAGUGCAGUCCCUGGCUCUGCCCAACCUCGCCCUCCAAACCCCAAGCACUGGAGCCUCCACUGUUCUCCCCCAGGAAACGCACCACAAUCUAAUAAACAUCACUGCCAAGGAGAUCUCUGCUUUCCCAUGGUCGCGAUUUAGUCUACAUUUGGCUUACGUGGACAAAGAACUUCCUGCUAAUAUCCACACAAGAGAUUUUUAUUUUUCUUUCCUGGCGAAGGAAUUCACUCAAGGGCAAAACUGGAGCUAAAAUGUUUUGUUUGUGUUUUGUGUAACAGUUUUAGGAGUCUCCCUGCCGCAUUGUUGUACAGAGCAGAUGAAAAAAAGAUGCAGUCCUAUGCCCUGGAGAGCUUACACUUUUCAUUUAAGUGAGAUGCAGUGACUGAGAGUGACAAGUAACAAGACGGCAGGACACGAGUCAUACAAGAAAGGUCAGAAUACUUCUAAAUAAAGCCCAUUGUCAUGCUUUUAA